rnacentral:rRNA from 1 species
GAUGAACGCUGGCGGCGUGCCUAAUACAUGCAAGUCGAGCGAACGGACGAGAAGCUUGCUUCUCUGAUGUUAGCGGCGGACGGGUGAGUAACACGUGGAUAACCUACCUAUAAGACUGGGAUAACUUCGGGAAACCGUAGCUAAUACCGGAUAAUAUUUUGAACCGCAUGGUUCAAAAGUGAAAGACGGUCUUGCUGUCACUUAUAGAUGGAUCCGCGCUGCAUUAGCUAGUUGGUAAGGUAACGGCUUACCAAGGCAACGAUGCAUAGCCGACCUGAGAGGGUGAUCGGCCCAACUGGAACUGAGACACGGUCCAGACUCCUACGGGAGGCAGCAGUAGGGAAUCUUCCGCAAUGGGCGAAAGCCUGACGGAGCAACGCCGCGUGAGUGAUGAAGGUCUUCGGAUCGUAAAACUCUGUUAUUAGGGAAGAACAUAUGUGUAAGUAACUGUGCACAUCUUGACGGUACCUAAUCAGAAAGCCACGGCUAACUACGUG